CGGGGAGCCUCACUCACUGCUGCCUCGGGUGUGUGACUGGUAUGGGCUUUCUCCCUCGUCACACUCUCAGCUGUGGGGCCCAGAAAGGUGGGAAGAAGUGAUUGUGUGGAUUUUACAUCCCAGUAACCCAGGUAAUGGUUAGUAAUCUUUGUGUUUUUAAAUCUUAAAAACCUAACCCUUUCUUUAUUUGGAGGAACUAAUGAAGUGUUCUCCAUGACCACGUACUAAAGUGUCUGCACAACCCUGGGAUUUUUUACCUCAUUGCUCUGCUCUGUGGCUUUUCUGAACAACAAUGUGAAUGGAGACGCUCCAGCAAAGUCAUGAUCUGUGGUGGCUGAUGCGUCUGAACUGACUGAUGAAAAAUGCAUGUUCCUUCAGUCAACAGAUCAAUGAAGAUGACAAACACCGAGGUCUGUAAGGAGGAGUUAGAGCUGCUGAAUCACCAAGAUGAAAAGCAGAAACUGUGGAAGAAAGUAGAAGUGAAUGAAAGUAGAAGCCUCCUGGAAGAUUCUUGUGAGUUCCUAAGAAGCAGAGAUUUGGGAAAAGCUGACCAGGAGAAAAAGCAUGCCCAGCUGUGGAACUGCUACUAGUCAUGCUGGUCUUUGGAUUGCCCAAGGAAUGCACUGAAGUCCUACCUGUCCUGAAGAUACCAAGGAACCUCUAGAGGUACAGCUAAUCAACCUGCCAAUGGAAAGGACAGCUGUCCUGCCAUCUGGGAGAGAAGGUGGAACACAGGAUCUGCUAGCUAUAAAGAUUUUUCUGAUGGUUGACUUCAUAUUCUGUCCUGGAACAUCAUGAGCCUCUCCAACACUGAGGCUUACGGAGAUAGUUGAUUUCAGGAUGUCAGGAUAACCAGAGCUAUGUACAGGUUCACUUACUAAUUGAUGCUGGCUUGUGACAAUUGAGUAAUUUGAGGAAUUUGUGUGGCAAGUCAUCUUUUCUUAUCAGGUAGAUCUGAAUCUUACGUUAUUCCACAGUUAGGAGACUUAAUGCAUCCCUGAAGGGCUUUGUGCAUUGGAGAAUGCAGCAGUGAGCUCAAUAUCUGGGCUCUGUUAUGGGAUUCUUGACAUUGGAUUCAAAUAGGAUCACGGAAAAGCAGAUGGGUUGUGAUGCAGCUCAUACAAGAGGCCCAGCAAUUUUUGGAAAUGCAGAGCUUGCUGGCCAAACACUUAGAUAUUUCAGGAUGUGUAAACAGAUAGAAGCCAAAAUGAGAAAACAAACAGAAAAAUAAAUCUAUGCUAAGGCAAGUGAAGUGGGAUCAUCAACCAUCACCACCACAGCAAAUAAUCCAUCACUGAACAUGUACUAGAUUAUGUACCAAUGUUAUAGACCAGAUGCCCAUGAUACACUGUUAUGAAUCAUUGGCUAAUCAAAGGUAAAACUCCUAUUUAAUUUCUUUUCUGAUUUUCUCUCCACAAUCAUUUGCAACUUCAUUAGUGUUCUAGGAGUUUUAAAGCCUAUCUAUUCUGAAGUCAGUUCCCAGCUCUGUGACUGUUCUAAUCAAGACACACACACACAUGCAUAUUUGCAGUUUUCCAGACCAUAGGUUUAGCUUUGGAAAAAUAAGACCAGCUUUGUAAAUAGGCAAGAGGAAACCUUAUAUUCUUCUAGGAAAAUGAUAAGACAAUACUGAAUAUGUGUUUUGUUUGUAACUCUUUUACCUGAUAAUGCCUAACAUGCUAUUUGCUUUUCUAGCAAACAUUCAUUAUGUCUUCACCGAACUGUGUGUUACAGCUCCACUGUCUCCUCCAGGCUAAUGUAAUGCUACCCCAUAUUACCCAUAACUUGAAUGUUAGGACUGCUUUUUCCCCUUCUUGUGAUAGAGCAGCACAUGUUAACAUGUAAUACAAUUUGUACUAACACCGUAGUUCACCUGCUGGUAUUACUGUUCUGUCACUUCAGGCUGCAAGCUGUCUUUGCACAUCUUCACUGUUAGCUCUUGUUAUUCAUGCAAGAUCUUCCAUGGUGACUUAUUUCUUUUAUGAGAAGUAGACCAGAAAAGCUCAAAUAGACCAAAACCACCUGAUCUCCUUUACCUUAAGGUCUGCAGGUUUCUUCGAAGAAUACUUACAGCUCU